rnacentral:rRNA from 1 species
CUACGUAGGGGGCGAGCGUUGUCCGGAAUGAUUGGGCGUAAAGGGCGCGUAGGCGGCGCGGUAAGUCUGGAGUGAAAGUCCUGCUUUCAAGGUGGGAAUUGCUUUGGAUACUGCCGCGCUUGAGUGCAGGAGAGGUUAUCGGAAUUCCCGGUGUAGCGGUGAAAUGCGUAGAGAUCGGGAGGAACACCAGUGACGAAGGCGGGUAACUGGACUGCAACUGACGCUGAGGCGCGAAAGUGUGGGGAGCAAACAGGAUUAGAUACCCUGGUAGUCCACACUGUAAACGAUGAAUGCUAGGUGUAAGAGGUAUCGACCCCUUUUGUGCCGGAGUCAACACAAUAAGCAUUCCGCCUGGGGAGUACGGCCGCAAGGUUGAAACUCAAAUGAAUUGACGGGG